rnacentral:rRNA from 1 species
UACAGAGGUCCCGAGCGUUGUUCGGAUUCACUGGGCGUAAAGGGUGCGUAGGUGGUUAGGUAAGUCCGAUGUGAAAUCUCCAGGCUCAACCUGGAGAUGGCAUUGGAUACUAUUUAGCUUGAGGAGUGGAGGGGGGGACUGGAAUUCUCGGUGUAGCAGUGAAAUGCGUAGAUAUCGAGAGGAACACCAGUGGCGAAGGCGAGUCCCUGGACACUUCCUGACACUGAGGCACGAAAGCUAGGGGAGCAAACAGG